rnacentral:lncRNA from 1 species
GAUACUCAUUGCCUUAUAAAAUGUUUAGCACCUGACGAGACAAAUUAAGUAAUGAGAGAAAUUAUAAUGGCCUUUGUGGUAAUCAUUCAAGAGUAAGAUCACUAGCUCUACAGGUCAUCCACUAAUGAUAUUUCUAGCUUAAAAGGAAAAAGGAUGAAUGUAUGUUUGUCUAGUAAUGUGAUAAAUGUCAAAAAAAUUUCUAAUGUACCUCAUCAAAUCCCAUAACAUCUCACCUUAUUCAUUAGUCCAUGGUCAUUUGCUCAAUGGUGUAUAGACAUCAUUGGUCUAAUGUCAAUAAGUAAAGAGCAAACAAAGUUUACCAUAGCAUUGUAGACUAUUUUUCUAAAUGAGCUUAAGCAAAGUUUUUUGUGUAGAUUAGAAUAGAAAACAACAGGAUUUAUGUGGAAAUCAAUCACAUACAGGUUCAAUAUUCUUCAAGCCAUUUUUACAGACAAUAGGAAACAAUUUGACAAUUUACACUUUAGAUAAUUUUGUUAAGGCCUUUGAAUAAAUAAGGCUUUUUCUUCACCAAUCCAUCAUCAAGCUAAUGGACAGGUUGAGGUUGUUAAUAAAAUAAUCAAACAUCAUUUAAAGACCAAGUUAGAGAAGUAUAAGGGGUUUGGGCAGAUGAACUACUAUUUAUGUUAUGGUAUUACAAAAUAACAAAUGCUACAACAAGAGGAAAAACUCCAUAUUCCCUUACAUUCGGGACGGAAGUAGUAGUUUCAAUUGAAAUUGGGAUGUCAUCAUAUAGAAUGCAACACUUUUAAUCAGAACAAACAAAAUCAAAAGCCGCUAAGUCUCAGCCUAACUUAUUUGAAGAAAAGAGAGAACAAGCCUAGAUCAAAGCUACAAUAUGUAAGCAAAGGGUGGCUUGAUACUUUAAUUCAAAAGUAAACCUAAGAAGCUUCUGAGUUGGAAAUCUUGUUCUUAAGAGGCUAUUCCAUAAUAGAAAAAGCAAAAUGUUGUUGUAUUAGGCCUAAAUUGAAGCGCCUCUAUAGAAUAGUAGAGGUUGUUAGACCAGAAACCUAAUUAAAGAGAUUAAUGAAGUCAUACUUCCACAAUGUUAGAAUGUAUAGUGUUUAAGGAUCUACUACCAAUAGGAAAGUUAUCAUUUCCCCUUUAGCAAUUUAUGAAAUACUAAUUAAGCAACCCAUGAGGGGGGUGUAUUGGGAUAUUAAAAAUUAAGAUAAGCAAACUACACAACAAUUCAAUUUAAUGCCCUAAUGGAAUCGAAAAUAAUAAAUUCAAUCAAGCACAAUAAUAAAAGAGUGAUGGAAGAGAAAACAAACACAAGGAUUUUUUUCGUGGUUCGGCAAUCCCCGCCUACGUCCACGCCUCCAAGCACACCGAGCUUGAGGAUUUCACUAUCCAAGCCUCCCAAGGCUUCAAACGCUUACAAUUGACUUCCAAGAUGUCAAUAGACCUUACAACAAGAGAUUAUCUCUAAUCUCUUAACACAAGUGUAUCCCAACACUUACAAUCACUCAAAACAAAUAUUACAAAUGUGUUUUUCCCUCACAAAAAAUAUAUGAUUACAAAUCUAUGCUCAAUGUAUGAAUAAAUGAAUCAAGAAUGAAUUUAAAGCUCAAUGAAUGUUGUAUUCUCGAUUACAAGUUCAAUGAUAAUGUCGUGAUCCACUCUUGUUUGAAUUUGAUUGAUCUUAUUUAUAGUUGGAGCUGAAACUAGCUGUUAUUGACUUUCUGCUCACUGUCGGAUCGCCGUUAACUAGAUGUCGGAUCGCUGUUUGACUGGUGAAUAUGACCGUUGGGCUGAAUUUUCAAAUUGUCGGAUCGCUGUUUUCAAUAUGUCGGAUCGUCGUUAGUGUCCAGAGGCUAAUCUUCAAUUCUGUUUGAUGUCAUCGAGCCGUUAUCAAGCUGUCGAAUCGUUAUUUUCUACAGCGACUAUUACAGUGAACUAUUUUUAUAAAAUUAUAGUUUGGCCCUAAAAUUUCAUAAAAUUACAUUAUGGUCCAAAUCGUCAUAAAACUUUACAAAUAAGUCCAUUUCCAGAGUUUCAAAAAAAUUCAAUUUAGACCAUUAAUUUAAAAUAACCAAUUUCAUAAAAUCAUUUUUCCAUUAAAUAUAAAACAUUUAUAUUAUGAAAAUAAUGAUUUAUUUAAAAUAAUUUGAGCUUUUAAAAACUUAAUCAUUCUUAAUCUUGUUUGUUAUCAUCAAAAUCAACAUUAUGGAUACAUAUAUGCUAACAAUCUCCCCAUUUUUUAUGAUGAUAAACCUUGCAUGUAUUUAAAGAAUGAUUCCACAACUUGCUCCCCUUACAAUUUGAGCUUAAAAAAUUAAUCAUUCUUAAUCUUGUUUGUUAUUAUCAAAAUCAACAUUAUGGAAACAUAUAUGUUAACAUUCUCCUCCUUUUUGAUGAUGACAAACAUUUCAUGUAUUUAAAGAAUGAUUGCACAAAUUGCUCCCCUUAAAUGUAAGCUUCUCUUACAAUUUAGCUAAAUUAACAAAUUUAAAUACAUGUAUUUUUCUCCCCCUCAUCAUUAAAAAGAAAACUUAGUUUAAAAAAAAAAGAGUAGCAAAUUUGUUACCCAUGUUGUCCAAGUAGAAAUUGGGAUAAAUACUCCCCCUAACAACAAGCAUCACCUCAAAUACAAGUUUAGUAAUAUUACUCCCAAAUUAUUAUAAAUCAUGAUACACACCAUGUAAUCAAAUCAUCAUCAUAUCUCAAAAUCAUCACCAUAAUCACAUAUUAAUCAUCAAAACAAUAUUCAAAAAUCCAUAUUUUCUCCUCUUUUUGAUAACAUCAAAAUGAUAUAUUACUUUGUUUCCCUCUUUGGACAACAAAAAAGUUCAAAAUGCAUAUUAUCCAAAAUCAUAUUAUAUGCUCCCCCUAAAUAUAUGGCCAAUUUAAAAUUUUAACCAAAAUGAUUUUGUCCAAAAACAUAUCAUAUUUAUCUCCCCCUUCAUCAUAAAAAAAGAAAAGAUAGAUAGAUGCAAUCGAAACAAGAUCAUAAAAAAUAAUUCGAUGAAGAUAUUACCCAUUUUGUGUGAGCAAACAUUGCGGCAAAGUCUCCCCUUAAAAAUGAACAAAUCCUCAAAUACACAACAUGGUUAAAAAUACUUCCAUAUAAGCUUAACCAAUUAUAACAAACCAACAACUCCAUCAAUUCAUCAAGCAACACACAUAUAAUCAUCAAUCAUCAAAAUCAUCAAGAAAUCAAUUUUAAUAGUAUUAAUAACAUUAUUAGAUAUAUUAAUAAAUUUCAUCAUCCUAAGUUCAUGUUGAAUUUUUAAAAAUUGUUCUUCACAAAAAGGUUUUGAUUUGUUUACCAAAUUGGCGUGCAAACGUUAUAAGAACAUAUUAUCAACUAUCCAAACUCCAUAAUAACUAAACACAUUUUAAAAAUCAAGACAAUUAAACUCAUCAAAUAUCUAAUGUGACAUUUUAAUAUAACUUAAAAAAUCUCAUAUGCUUAAAAUUCUCGAAGUAUAUGUAUUUCUCCCCUUUUCGAUAUUAUUUAAAGCAAGUAAUGCAUAUUCGACAAUACAUCAAUAAAGUACAAAAAAUGCAUCCAUUCACCAAUCAUAGAUCCCAUAAGAUUAAACUUCAUCAAAUACAUGUAAUCAUCAAAGCAUAUUCUUUAUCUCAAAUCUUAAGCAAAACAUAAGUGUAUAAUUGCAAUAUAUAGAUAAUCAAAAUCAACAUAGUUAUUAAGAUAAGCCAUCAUUAUGAGUAAAGAACAGGUGAUCUAAUUCAUAAGUGCAAUAAGUCAUUAGUACGAAUUUUAUAAAUAAUAUAACACAAUUAAUGGCAUAUGAAUUCACACAUGCAUAAGAGAUGGACAAUGAUGAUAGACAAUUAAGAAGAUGAAAUCAAAGACCAUACAAUCAUCAAAAUCAAACAAAGGCAUCAUGAUAAAUCACUCAAUGUUAUACACAAUGAUAAUUCCAUCAUGUAAACAUACAAGCAUACUUUCGCAAAUUCAAGUUAUUAUCCAUUUAUCAUGAUCCACUCAACAUAACAAAUAGGCAAGAUAAGCCUAUUCACCUCAUAUUAAUGCACUUAAUGUUAUGAUAAGAUAUGAAAUACUUACUAAGAUUAAAAGACCGUCACUUAUAAUCAAUAAGGCAAUAAUUGUUUCUAAAACAAUUAAAUUAUCUUGCCUCAUUAUUUUUUUCUUAGACCAUGAUCAAGUGAUUAUCUUCACAAGUUUUAUCAAGGAACUCUCCACUAUUCCUUGUUUGUGGUACCUACAAAAAAAUAUUCAAGUUGUGUGCUUUGGUACCCAAAUAUUCUUGGGUCCUUAAGUGUUAGCAAUGGUUUCUUUUAGAAUCCAAAUACAUGUUGCUCCAUGAUAUGCAUUUCUUUUAACUGGACAUCUAAGUUUCAUGUGACCAUUUUGAUUGCAAUAAUGGCAUACAAUUGAUCAUUAAUGGAGGUAGUUUUAAUAAAAUAACUCUUAUAAUAUUUGUGUUUCAAAUUUGGCUUAUAACCAAUACCUCAUUUGUCAAACACAUAUUUUUGUGAAUUAAGCAAGUUAUCUAACAUCUUUUGUUCAUUUGUAAAUUUUAAGACAAUCUUAUUUAACUCAUUGCUCUUCUUCUUAAGCACUUCAUUUUCUUUCAUUAAUUCAUCAACAUGUGAUUUCUCAUGCUCAUAUGAAGUACUUUGUUUACAUUUAUAUGAUGCAAUCCUAUCAUAUAACAUUUCAUUAUCUAAUUCCAAUUCUUUGAUCUUUUCAUUUAAUGAAACAUUGCAUUUUUGCAGGGCAUCUUUUUCAUUUUUCAAGUCAUCUACAUGUGAUUCUAGAUGCUUGUGCGAAGUGCUACAUUUCUCAUUUGAUAAUGCAACUUUAUCAUGCAAUGUUUUAUUCUCUAGUUCUAGGCAUAUAAUUUUUGCACUUAAAGAUUCAUUUUCAUUUGUGAGCUCUACCAUUUUCUUUUUAAGACAUGCAUUCUUUUUACCAAUUUUCAUCCACUCAUCAUGCAAUUAUUUAAACGCAUCAUGCAAUUCAUCAUAUGUAGGAAGAUCGCUUACCUCAUCAAGUUCAUCAUCCGAUUUAUCUCCAAUUGCCAUAAGUGCCAAAUUCGACACUUCAUGAGAUUCCUCCUCAUUUGUAGUCUCCUCAUACAUAACUUCAAGUUUUCUCCAAAUUUCAUAAGCAUUAGAACAAUUUGAAACUCUAUGAAAUUCCUUUUUAUCUAAGGCACAAAAUAAAUCAUUCAUAGCCUUGGAAUUUAAAAACACAUUUUUCUUAUCGAACUCACUUAAGGCAUUCUUCCUAGGAAUGAAUGAACCAUUACAAACUAUUUCCUAAAUUUCAUAGUCUAAGGCUUGUAAAAAGACUCUCAUCCUAGUUUUCCAAUAAGGAUAGUCAUUACCAUCAAAGAAUAGAGGUCUAGUGGUAGAUUGGCCUUCCAUGAAGGUUGAGCUAAUUUGGGUUGCUAUAGAUCUUUAACUCUAGACAGUUAAGUCUACACAAGAGCACCUCACUCUGAUACCAAAUGAAAUACUAAUUAAGCAACCCAAGAGGGGGGGGGGGUGAAUUGGGAUAUUAAAAAUUAAGAUAAGCAAACCACGCAACAAUUCAAUCUAAUGCUUUAAUGGAAUCAAAAACAAUAAAUUCAAUCAAGCACAAUAAUAAAAGAGUGAGGGAAGAGAAAACAAACACAAGAAUUUUUUCGUGGUUCAGCAAUCCCCGCCUACGUGCACACCUCCAAGCACACCGAGCUUGAGGAUUUCACUAUCCAAGCCUCCCAAGGCUUCAAACGCUUACAAUUGACUUCCAAGGUGUCAAUAGACCUUUACAACAAGAGAUUAUCCCUAAUCUCUUAACCUAAGUGUAUCCCAACACUUACAAUCACUCAAAACAAAUAUUACAAAUGUGUUUUUCCCUCACACAAAAUAUAUGAUUACAAAUCUAUGCUCAAUGUGUAAAUAAAUGAAUCAAGAAUGAAUUUAAAGCUCAAUGAAUGUUGUAUUCUCGAUUACAAGCUCAAUAAUAAUGUUGUGAUCCACUCUUGUUUGAAUUUGAUUGAGUUUACCUAUAGUUGGAGCUGAAAACUAGCCGUUAUUGACUUUCUGCUCACUAUCGAAUUGUCGUUAACUAGAUGUCGGAUCGUCGUUUGACUGGUCAAUAUGACCGUUGGGCUGAAUUUUUAAAUUGUCGGAUCGCCGUUUUCAAUAUAUCGGAUCGCCGUUAGUGUCCAGAGGCUAAUCUUCAAUUCUGUUCUAUGUCAGCGAGCCAUUAUCAAGAUGGCGUAUCACCGUUUUCUACAGUGACUGCUACAGUGAACUAUUUUUAUAAAAUUAUAGUUUAACCCCAAAACUUUAUAAAAUUAUACUAUGGCCCAAAUAGUCAUAAAACUUUACAAAUAAGUCCAUUUCCAGAGUUU